UCCUACGGGUGGCAGCAGUGGGGAAUAUUGGACAAUGGGCGCAAGCCUGAUCCAGCCAUGCCGCGUGGGUGAUGAAGGCCUUAGGGUUGUAAAGCCCUUUUAGCGGGGAAGAUAAUGACGGUACCCGCAGAAGAAGCCCCGGCUAACUUCGUGCCAGCAGCCGCGGUAAUACGAAGGGGGCUAGCGUUGUUCGGAAUCACUGGGCGUAAAGCGCACGUAGGCGGAUUUUUAAGUCAGGGGUGAAAUCCCGGGGCUCAACCUCGGAACUGCCUUUGAUACUGGCAAUCUUGAGUCCGGGAGAGGUGAGUGGAACUCCGAGUGUAGAGGUGAAAUUCGUAGAUAUUCGGAAGAACACCAGUGGCGAAGGCGGCUCACUGGUCCGGUACUGACGCUGAGGUGCGAAAGCGUGGGGAGCAAACAGGAUUAGAUACCCUUGUAGUC
rnacentral:rRNA from 1 species